rnacentral:sRNA from 1 species
GCUGGGUAUGGUGGUGCACGCUUGUAAUUCCAGCAACUCCGGAGGCUGAGGCAAGAGGAUCACAAGUUGGAGGCCAGCCUCAGCAACUUAGCGAGGCCUUGAAUAACUUAGUGAGACCCUGUCUCAC